rnacentral:rRNA from 1 species
UCGAGCGAGGCGGCCCGCAAGGGUCAGUCGAGCGGCGAACGGGUGAGUAACACGUGGAUAACCUGCCCAGAGGUGGGGGAUAACCCGGGGAAACUCGGGCUAAUACCGCAUGAUACCGAGAGGUCAAAGGGGGCUCGCAAGGGCUCUCGCCAUUGGAGGGGUCCGCGUCCGAUUAGCUAGUUGGUAGGGUAAUGGCCUACCAAGGCCACGAUCGGUAGCCGGCCUGAGAGGGUGAUCGGCCACACUGGAACUGAGACACGGUCCAGACUCCUACGGGAGGCAGCAGUGGGGAAUUUUGCGCAAUGGGCUAACGCCUGACGCAGCAACGCCGCGUGGAGGAUGAAGGUCCUUGGAUUGUAAACUCCUGUCAGCAGGGAAAAAGCGAUAGGUGCUCAUACCACCUAAAGUUGAUUGUACCUGCAGAGGAAGCCCCGGCUAACUCUGUGCCAGCAGCCGCGGUAAUACAGAGGGGGCAAGCGUUAUUCGGAAUUAUUGGGCGUAAAGGGCGCGUAGGCGGCUUGGCAAGUGGAUGGUGAAAUCCCUCGGCUUAACCGAGGAACUGCCAUCCAGACUGCUUUGCUUGAGGCCGGGAGAGGCGAGUGGAAUUCCCAGUGUAGCGGUGAAAUGCGUAGAUAUUGGGAGGAACACCAGUGGCGAAGGCGGCUCGCUGGACCGGUUCUGACGCUGAUGCGCGAAAGCGUGGGGAGCAAACGGGAUUAGAUACCCCGGUAGUCCACGCCGUAAACGAUGAGUGCUUGGUGUUACGGGUAUCGACCCCUGCUGUGCCGAAGUCA